rnacentral:rRNA from 1 species
AUUGAACGCUGGCGGCAUGCCUUACACAUGCAAGUCGAACGGCAGCACGGGUGCUUGCACCUGGUGGCGAGUGGCGAACGGGUGAGUAACAUAUCGGAACGUACCUUAUUGUGGGGGAUAACGCAGCGAAAGCUGUGCUAAUACCGCAUAAUCCCUAAGGGGGAAAGCGGGGGACCGUAAGGCCUCGCGCAAUUAGAGCGGCCGAUACCUGAUUAGCUAGUUGGUGAGGUAAAGGCUCACCAAGGCAACGAUCAGUAGCUGGUCUGAGAGGACGAUCAGCCACACUGGGACUGAGACACGGCCCAGACUCCUACGGGAGGCAGCAGUGGGGAAUUUUGGACAAGGGGGGCAACCCUGAUCCAGCAAUGCCGCGUGAGUGAAGAAGGCCUUCGGGUUGUAAAGCUCUUUUGUCAGGGAAGAAACAGCAGCUCUAACACAGUAUGCGAAUGACGGUACCUGAAGAAUAAGCACCGGCUAACUACGUGCCAGCAGCCGCGGUAA